rnacentral:rRNA from 1 species
UGACUGCAUGUUUAACGGCCGCGGUAUCCUGACCGUGCGAAGGUAGCGCAAUCACUUGUCUCUUAAAUGGGGACCUGUAUGAAUGGCUCCACGAGGGUUUAACUGUCUCCUCUUUCCAGUCAAUGAAAUUGAUCUCCCCGUGCAGAAGCGGGGAUAAAGACAUAAGACGAGAAGACCCUAUGGAGCUUUAGACGCCGAGGCAGACUAUUCCUACCACCCCUAAAGCCAGGCCUAAACCAAAUAGUUCCUGCCCCAAUGUCUUCGGUUGGGGCGACCACGGGGCAAUAAAAAACCCCCGCGUGGACCGGGAAAUAACCUCCUAAAAGCAAGAGCUCCCGCUCUAACUAUCAGAACUUCUGACCAAAAGUGAUCCAGCUAAUCCUGAUCAACGGACCAAGUUACCCUAGGGAUAACAGCGCAAUCUUCUUCUAGAGUCCAUAUCGACAAGGAGGUUUACGACCUCGAUGUUGGAUCAGGACAUCCUAAUGGUGCAGCCGCUAUUAAGGGUUCGUUUGUUCAACGACUAAAGUCCUACGUGAUCU